rnacentral:rRNA from 1 species
UACAGAGGUCUCGAGCGUUGUUCGGAUUCAUUGGGCGUAAAGGGUGCGUAGGUGGUCAGGUAAGUCGGAUGUGAAAUCCCGGGGCUCAACCUCGGAACUGCAUUCGAUACUGCCUGACUGGAGUACUGGAGAGGAGAUUGGAAUUUACGGUGUAGCAGUGAAAUGCGUAGAUAUCGUAAGGAAGACCAGUGGCGAAGGCGGAUCUCUGGACAGUUACUGACACUGAGGCACGAAGGCCAGGGAGCAAACGGG